rnacentral:rRNA from 1 species
AACGGAAGUUAGAGCUUCGGUUUUAACUUUAGUGGCGAACGGGUGAGUAACGCGUGAGGAACCUGCCUUUCAGUGGGGGACAACAGUUGGAAACGACUGCUAAUACCGCAUGACACUUUUUGGGAGACAUCUCCUGGAAGUCAAAGCUUUUAUGUGCUGAAAGAUGGCCUCGCGUCUGAUUAGCUAGUUGGUGAGGUAACGGCUCACCAAGGCGACGAUCAGUAGCCGGUCUGAGAGGAUGAACGGCCACAUUGGGACUGAGAUACGGCCCAGACUCC